rnacentral:rRNA from 1 species
AUUGAACGCUAGCGGGAUGCUUUACACAUGCAAGUCGAACGGUAGCACGAAGAAAGCUUGCUUUCUUUGGUGACGAGUGGCGAACGGGUGAGUAAUGUAUCGGAACGUACCCAGUAGCGGGGGAUAACUACGCGAAAGCGUGGCUAAUACCGCAUACGCCCUACGGGGGAAAGGGGGGGAUCGCAAGACCUCUCACUAUUGGAGCGGCCGAUAUCGGAUUAGCUAGUUGGUGGGGUAAAGGCCCACCAAGGCGACGAUCCGUAGCUGGUUUGAGAGGACGACCAGCCACACUGGGACUGAGACACGGCCCAGACUCCUACGGGAGGCAGCAGUGGGGAAUUUUGGACAAUGGGGGCAACCCUGAUCCAGCCAUCCCGCGUGUGCGAUGAAGGCCUUCGGGUUGUAAAGCACUUUUGGCAGAGAAGAAACGACUCUGGAUAAUACCCGGGGUUAAUGACGGUAUCUGCAGAAUAAGCACCGGCUAACUACGUGCCAGCCGCCGCAGUAAUAC